AGUGAACGCUGGCGGUAGGCCUAACACAUGCAAGUCGAACGGCAGCACAGUAAGAGCUUGCUCUUACGGGUGGCGAGUGGCGGACGGGUGAGGAAUACAUCGGAAUCUACUUUUUCGUGGGGGAUAACGUAGGGAAACUUACGCUAAUACCGCAUACGACCUACGGGUGAAAGCAGGGGAUCUUCGGACCUUGCGCGAUUGAAUGAGCCGAUGUCGGAUUAGCUAGUUGGCGGGGUAAAGGCCCACCAAGGCGACGAUCCGUAGCUGGUCUGAGAGGAUGAGCAGCGACACUGGAACUGAGACACGGGCCAGAGUCCUACGGGAGGGAGCGGAGGGGAAUAUUGGGCAAUGGGGGCGAGCCUGAGCCAGACCUACCGCGUGGGGGAAGAAGGGCCUCGGGUUGUGAAGCGCCUUUGUUGGGAAAGAAAAGCACCGGGGUUAAAUCCCGCGGUGUUGACGGUACCCAAAGAAUAAGCACCGGCUAACUUCGUG
rnacentral:rRNA from 1 species